ensembl:lncRNA
AAACUCUCAAAAACUAGAAAACACCAGUUUAGUUUCUUUAUCCCUGAUUUGUCUUCCUUCCCAUGUAUUUUUUUUGUCUAGUUCAGCCAAAUCUGUGUUUGUUUACCUUUCUUUGUAUUGUAUAUCUUAAUCUAUGUCUCAGUGUUGGUCAUUUGCUGUUUUAUAGCCUGUGUCCUGUUUCCUGUGUGCUAAAUGUUCAGUUUUGCUCCCCUUGUCUCAUUCAUCUGUGAUUAUGUCAGCUGAGUGUCCCUCUGUUCCUUGUUUCAGUCUCUCUCACUCACCGUGUGUCCUGUCUUCCAUUCUAGUUCGUAAAUUCCUGGUUUCUGUCCAGUCAUUCUCACCACAGACAUGCCGUUAACCAAGUUUCAAGUGCAAACAUAAUUAUCGCAGCUGCUGGUGGCCUCUGUGGUUUCAUUUUCAUCAUUGUCAUCAUUUGCAUUGUCGCAAAACGUAAACGAAGGAACCAGGAAAAUCAACUGUAUGAGGCUGCUCAAGAGCAUCCUCCAGGCCAAACUCGAAAUGAGAAUGUUCCAGGAGAUGCCUCGAGUCUUUCCCCAACAUCUACUUAUGCCCUCGUGGAGUUUCACCCUAAAACAGAAUCCACAAAGUCCAAAAAAAUUCCACAGCCAGAGACGGUGUAUGCUCAGGUUACCAGACCCACCAGGCCCAGAGUCACUGCCCAACAAACAGAGCUGGAGAACAUCAGCAGUAUAAAUUCACAAGGCUAAACACAUAUGAACUAUGAACACUUGAACUCUGCUUUUCUUUUUUCUAAAAUGUUGGCACAGAGGACAUGUUGGAUCACAUUUAUCACCUGUUUAAAACACAAAUGAACUGAAUAUUUUCUUAAUGUUUUCAAACAUUAUCCUUUUUUGUAGUAAUAUUUUUGUGUUUUAGAUGGUGAUGGCUUACUGUGAAGUACAAUAUUUUGUUUUUAGAGCUAUAUACUUGAAUCUCUUUUUCUUUUUCUUGUUUUUUGAAGUUUUCCUGAAUAAUGUAGUGCAUAUAAUCUUUAUCAAUAAUUAUUGUAAUUUUUUAUAUGUGUUGCAGGCUAUAAAUAAUACUUAAAGUUAAUACAUUUCAAGUUUUCUUUUUAUAGAUCUAGACCAGGGGUGUGAAAUAUAAGACUCCAAUCCAGCCCACUGGGAGCUUUUAAAAAUGUGAAGGAGGGCAUAAAUUUUGGACUGUCGAAUAUAUUUCAGUUGUUUUGCCAUGGCGUUAUAUAAACUAAAAUGAAUUGGUUUGGCACACUUAUCAAAGUGGGCUGGAUGUGGCCAACACUGUAAGAUCUGUUCAAAAUCCCUGAUCUAAACUUUAUGGAGAAAUGUAUUAAAUCAAUUCCUCAUUAGGAAGACUUUGUUAGUUAACAGCCACCUUAGGUUUGUUGUGGAACAGCUGCAACAGAAAAACUUUCUUUGUAAUUUAUAUUUAUUACAGAAAGAAAGGCAUGGGAAGUCAGCAAAACAAGAAUAAAGUCUGGAGGUAUACAGAAAAAUCUUAAACAUUUUUCUACUGGAAUUUUCAAAAUUAAAUUCUAAAUAAGUGUAUAUAAUAAGAAUCUGUCUGGUUGUUCUGACCAAAUGUCACAUGUCUAAUGGAGUUUCCCCAUAUUUACCCUCAUGAGUACAUGCUACUGCCAAUCAGUACACUUGGUUUCUUGAUAAAGAUGACAUGUCCAAAAGAUCAGAUCUCUUCCUUUUUUACGACUCAGACUGAAUGCCUUUGUCCUCAAAGGUCAUAGUGAAUUACACACAUACACCCAAAGCUAAAAGUACAUAAGACAGAAAAAAGAUUUUCAUUGCCUUCAUGUUUUUUUUUUUUUAAUUUAGCUGUUGUACCAGGGAACUAAAUUGUUUUCGUAAAAGUCAAAUGUAAAGUAGACAUUAACAAAAAACAUGUUUUGCUUUUGAAGAGGUUUUACAAGAACAAAUUAUGAGAAAUGUUUCAAUUAAUUUAUCCGGAAGAACAUUUUGAAAAUAAAUAUUUUGAAACUGAUUAGUGGUGAAAAAUACCAUGUUCAUCAUUUAAAGAUAAUGUUUUUAUUGUCAAAUAUAUUGGAAUUACAUGUUUGGCCUUUUAACAGCCAAACUGAGAUGAAUUACAAUACUGAUGUCAGUUGUUUCAUGAAGUCUGAGUUUCUCUUUAUUUCUCUUGUACAAGAAUAUACUUGUACCAAAAAAAGUCAAGAAAAACUCAUCUUAUUUAAAGGAUUUCUGUCAUUGUCUGUUGUGAAGUUAGAACUUCAUAUUUUCAUAAACAUUUCAAGUCUU